rnacentral:rRNA from 1 species
UAGUUACUUCGGCACUUGCAGCAGCCAUGCCGCGUGGGGGAGGAAGGCCCUUGGGUUGUAAACCCCUUUCUGCGGGGAAGAUAAUGACCGGUCCCUGAGAAAAAACCCUCGCUUAAUUCCUGGCAACAGCCCCCGUCAUUCCGAAGGGGGUAGGGUUUUUCGGAAUUUCCGGGGGUUAAGGGGUUCUAAGGGGGCUCGCGAAUCCGGGGUGAAAGGCCCGGACUUAACCUGGGACCCGGCCUUGAAACUUAGGGUCUUGAAUCCGGUGGAGGAUAUGGGAAUUUCCUUUGUAAAGGGAAAUUGGGUUUAUUGUGGGAAGAGAGAAAUUGGCAAAAGGCGUUCUGUUGACCCGCGCCGAACCCUAGGUGCGGAACGGCGGGGGACCAAAAGGAUUUAAAUCCCCGAUAGUCCCUGGCUUUAACGAAGUGCUACUACCUGUGGGCAAACUCUUCCCGCUGGGGGCCGAACCUCACAUUAUGCGUAUCCCCCGGGGAGAGCACCCACUCGGCUGAAACUCUCAUGGGAUGUGAGAGAUGAAACUCGAAGGAAUUUGACGGA